AUUGAACGCUGGCGGCAGGCCUAAUACAUGCAAGUCGAACGAGUGGCGGACGGGUGAGUAAUGUCUGGGAAACUGCCUGAUAGCGGGGGAUAACUACUGGAAACGGUAGCUAAUACCGCAUACUAUCAGAUGAGCCCAGAUGGGAUUAGCUUCUUGGUGGGGGAACGGCUCACCAAGGCGACGAUCCCUAGCUGGUCUGAGAGGAUGACGGGCAACACGGGAACGGGGAAACGGCCAAACCUCCUACGGGGGGCAGCAUUGGGGAACAUUGCAAAAGGGGCGAAAGCUUGACGCAGCCAGGCGGCGUGUAUGAAGAAGGCCUUGGGGUGUAAAAGUACUUUCAGCGGGGAGGCGUUACCCGCAGAAGAAGCACCGGCUAACUCCGUGCCAGCAGCCGCGGUAAUUC
rnacentral:rRNA from 1 species